UGUUGGUCUUGCCCACAAGGGCGGGUCCUUUUGACCAUCUGUCCAUUCUCGUGCUUCCUGUGCCUGGACCCGCCAGGUGCUCAGCAGGUGUCUGUGGAGUGGGCUCUUUGUAUCCUGGAGGUACGAAGAAGGGGUCCUCCCUGAAGUCACAUGCACGGCCCAGCCUCAGGGAAAACGCACACUUCAGGGUGGGCAGCCACCCUUCCCCUGGCCUGGUGCUCCUAACACCCCGUCCACAUCCACAGAGGUGCCCUUGGUGGGUGGAGUGUGUCGGGUGGAGGGCUGGCUUCCUGCUUCCCCUCAGAGCUUCUCCUCGGGCUUUGCUAGAAUGUCAGGGAUAAGGGGGCCUGUACCCCCGGGCUCCUCAGAUGUGGGCCAGAAGCCUUCCCCAGGGGCUUUAGGGCCUCAGGCUGACCUUGUCCCUGGUUUUUCCAGCGAGGAGCCGCCCCUGGAUCUGACAGGCAAGGUGUACCAGCUGGAGGUGAUGCUGAAACAGCUGCACACUGACCUGCAGAAGGAGAAGCAGGACAAGGUGGUGCUCCAGUCAGAGGUGGCCAGCCUGCGGCAGAACAACCAGCGGCUGCAGGAGGAGUCGCAGGCCGCCAGUGAGCAGCUGCGCAAGUUUGCAGAGAUCUUCUGCAGGGAGAAGAAGGAGCUCUGAGGUGGGAGGCCGCCGCCCGCCUUCGCUCCUUCCCCUCAGGCCGUGGCCCUGCUGCCUCUCUCCCUCCACUCAGCUCCCAGCUGCCGGUGUGACCAAGAUGACCCAUCCAGGGCCCUCCCCAUGGACACGGAAACUCCGACGGCCUCACUA
rnacentral:sRNA from 1 species